GGGUCAAGUGACCAAGCGCACACGGUGGAUGCCUUGGCGAUCACAGGCGAUGAAAGACGUGGCAGCCUGCGAAAAGCUGCGGGGAGCUGGCAAACAAGCAUUGAUCCGCAGAUCUCUGAAUGGGGAAACCCACCCGCAAGGGUAUCGGCUUCUGAAUCCAUAGGAAGUCGAAGCGAACCCGGGGAACUGAAACAUCUCAAUACCCGGAGGAACAGAAAUCAACCGAGAUUCCGUCAGUAGCGGCGAGCGAACGCGGAACAGCCACCAGCAUGUAGCCAUCCGGUUAGGAGAACGGUCUGGAAAGGCCGGCCAUAGUGGGUGACAGCCCCGUAUCCGAAAACCCGAUGGUGGAACUAAGGCUGGAACAAGUAGGGCGGGGCACGUGAAACCCUGUCUGAACAUGGGUGACCAUCCUCCAAGGCUAAAUACUCGUGAUCGACCGAUAGUGAACCAGUACCGUGAGGGAAAGGCGAAAAGAACCCCGGCGAGGGGAGUGAAAUAGACCCUGAAACCGUGUGCGUACAAGCAGUGGGAGCCCCGCAAGGGGUGACUGCGUACCUUUUGUAUAAUGGGUCAGCGACUUACUUUCAGCGGCAAGCUUAACCGGUUAGGGGAAGCGUAGGGAAACCGAGUCCGAACAGGGCGAAUCAGUCGUUGGGAGUAGACCCGAAACCGAGCGAUCUAUCCAUGACCAGGCUGAAGGUGGGGUAACACCCACUGAAGGGCCGAACCCACGUCUGUUGAAAAAGCCGGGGAUGAGUUGUGGAUCGGAGUGAAAGGCUAAUCAAGCUCGGAGAUAGCUGGUUCUCCCCGAAAGCUAUUGAGGUAGCGCCUCGUGUCUCACUCCCGGGGGUAGAGCACUGUUUCGGCUAGGGGGCCAUCCCGGCUUACCAACCCGAGGCAAACUCCGAAUACCGGGAAGUGCAAUCACGGGAGACACACGGCGGGUGCGAACGUCCGUCGUGAAGAGGGAAACAACCCAGACCGCCAGCUAAGGUCCCCCAGUUCCGGCUCAGUGGGAAACGAUGUGGGAAGGCCCAGACAGCCAGGAGGUUGGCUUAGAAGCAGCCAUCCUUUAAAGAAA
rnacentral:rRNA from 1 species